rnacentral:lncRNA from 10 species
CUCUCUCUCUCUCUCCUGCUGCAUUGUGAAGAAACUGCUUGCUUCCCUCUCACCCUCUGCAGUUUCCUGAGGCCUCCCCAGCCAUGCGGAACGGCCAGAUGCAGUGCCUCAUGCCUGUAAUCCCAGCACUUUGGGAGGCUGAGGGAGGAUUGCUUGAGCCUGCUUCCAUAUCGUAAACUGCCUUGGAACCAAUUACCACUACCAGGGAGACAAACUAUUGCUUAGAGGAUGCUGACAGGAGCAGCAUGCCAAAAUUGGAAGAAGGAGAAAGUUUAAGCUCUCCUCACUAUGAGUUUUCAAGUAUAAAAGACUUUUUCUUCCACGAUUUUGAGAACAACUGAGGACUCUUGUGACCAGGACAACAGGGAAGCUUGCAGCAAGAUAGCUCCAGGUUGGAUUCAUGCUUCGCACCCCAAGGGCUGCCAGCCAGAGAGGAGGAGAAGCAAUCACUCCUGCAGUUUCUGAACACUACACAGACGCCAGGUAGCUUCUUCAGGAGAACAGCCCUCUGAGGAGGCAGGAAGAGGAGGCUUAUCUUUCAGCAGCCGGAGCUGCUGAGAUCUCUGGGCAGAUUAAGCUCUCUCUAAUGGAUGGGCUCCAGCCUGGCACAUUCAGUGGAGAGGGAUCCACUCAUCCAUCAUCAACAUAAUAUGGUCCUCCCUGCACUUCACAGUGUCCUCUUGCUAUUGAAAAGGCUUUUUUGCCUUCUCAAGUUUCUUUGUCAACAGUCUACAGGAAGAAGCUCAGGCCGCCACCGGCAGAGGUGAAUGCAAGCUCACGUUUUAUUUCUGACUGCUUAAUCAUUGCCUCGAUCACUGCUCAAGCUCUGCCUUUGUUUCCAAAGGUUACCUGUGGGAAAACUUCUUUUUCUAUGCUGAAAUUAAUAGGGAGGCAAAGAUGAGUCCACUGAUAAGCAGAGCCUUAAAACUCACAUAGAGAAACAACUUUGCUGGAGUGUGUGUGAGUGAACCACUAAGGAAUCAGAUAGUGUGAUGGCAGUUAUCAUUGCAGGUUAAGACAUUUCUACAAAUAUUUCGACAUCUCCAUAUACUCACUCCUUUCCCCCCUGAGUGGAGAGACUCAGCUACCAAGAGAGGAAGCUCAAAAAAAACAGAAGCUUCAAACAAACAACCAACCAAAAAAAAAAAAAAACUGUGGGUUCAUCAGAGGUGGUAGGGAAGACAAAAACAUGGGAGGAGCAGCUGGGCACGGUGGCUCAAGCCUGUAAUCCCAGCACUUUGCGAGGCUGAGGUGGGUGGAUCACCUGAGGUCAGGAGUUCGAGACCAGCCUGGCCAACAUGGUGAAACCCCAUCUCUACUAAAAAUACAAAAAAUUAGCCGGGCGUUGUGGUACGCACCUGUAAUCCCAGCUACUCCGGAGGCUGAGGCAGCAGAAUCGCUUGAACCCAGGAGGCAGAGGUUGCAACGAGCCAAGAUCGCACCAUUGCACUCCAGCCUGGGCAACAAGAGCGAAACUCCAUCUAAAAAAAACAAACAAGCAAACAAACAAAAAACACGGGAGGAGCAAUAAAAAGGAAUCCAUGCUUUGAUUUUUUUUU